UACGUAGGUGGCAAGCGUUACUCGGAAUCACUAGGCGUAAAGCGCAGGUAGGAGGUUUGGUAAGUCUGUUGUGAAAGCUCCCGGCUUAACUGGGAGAGGUCAACGGAAACUACUAGGCUAGAGUGCGGUAGAGGUAGCUGGAAUUCCCGGUGUAGCGGUGAAAUGCGUAGAUAUCGGGAGGAAUACCUAUGGCGAAGGCGGGUCUCUGGGCCGAUACUGACGCUGAGGAGCGAAAGCGUGGGGAGCGAACAGG
rnacentral:rRNA from 1 species